AGAACCCUUCCGGAAAGGUCCCUAACCAGCUCUAUUUAACUAUGGACGACUUAGCAGAUGAGUUCGGCAUCGGUACGCUUCGUUUGACCACUAGGCAGACGUUUCAGCUCCACGGUGUUCUCAAGCAGAAUCUCAAGACCGUGAUGAGCUCGAUUAUUAGAAACAUGGGAAGCACUUUGGGGGCUUGUGGUGAUUUGAAUAGAAACGUUCUUGCUCCGGCGGCGCCUUAUGUGAAGAAAGAUUAUCUCUUUGCGCAAGAGACGGCGGCAGAAUCUCAAGACCGUGAUGAGCUCGAUUAUUAGAAACAUGGGUAGCACUCUUGGUGCUUGUGGUGAUUUGAAUAGAAACGUUCUUGCUCCUGCUGCGCCUUAUGUGAAGAAAGACUAUCUCUUUGCUCAGGAGACGGCAGAUAAUAUUGCGGCUCUGCUUUCUCCUCAGUCGGGGUUUUAUUACGAUAUGUGGGUUGAUGGGGAGCAGUUUAUGACUGCUGA
rnacentral:lncRNA from 1 species